AGUGAACGCUGGCGGUAGGCCUAACACAUGCAAGUCGAACGGCAGCACAGUAAGAGCUUGGACUUACGGGUGGCGAGUGGCGGACGGGUGAGGAAUACAUCGGAAUCUACUUUUUCGUGGGGGAUAACGUAGGGAAACUUACCGUAAUACCGCAUACGACCUAAGGGUGAAAGCACGGGAUCUUCGGACCUUGCGCGAUUGAAUGAGCCGAGGUCGGAUUAGCUAGUUGGCGGGUUAGAGGCCCACCAAGGAGACGAUCAGUAGGUGGUCUGAGAGGAUGGUCAGCCAGACUGGAAGAGAGACACGGUCCAGACUCCUACGGGAGGCAGCAGUGGGGAAUAUUGGACGAGGGGGGCAAGCCUGAUCCAGCCAUACCGCGUGAGUGAAGAAGGCCUUCGGGUUGGAAAGCCCUUUUGUUGGGAAAGAAAAGCAGCAGGUUAAUACCCCGCUGUUCUGACGGUACCCAAAGAAUAAGCACCGGCUAACUUCGUG
rnacentral:rRNA from 1 species